AAAAGCUCAAAUUUAAAAUCUGGUGGUUUUGCCAUCCGAGUUGUAAUCUGGAGAAGCGUUUUCUGUGCUGGACCGUGUACAAGUCUCUUGGAACAGAGCGUCAUAGAGGGUGAGAAUCCCGUCCAUGACACGGACACCCAGUGCUAUGUGAUACGUUUUCAAAGAGUCGAGUUGUUUGGGAAUGCAGCUCAAAAUGGGUGGUAAGCUCCAUCUAAAGCUAAAUAUUGGCGAGAGACCGAUAGCGAACAAGUACCGUGAGGGAAAGAUGAAAAGCACUUUGGAAAGAGAGUUAAACAGUACGUGAAAUUGUUGAAAGGGAAACGCUUGAAGUUAGUCGCGUCUUACUUGACUCAGCCUUGCUUCGGCUUGGUGUAUUUCGUGUGAGACGGGUCAACAUCGAUUUUGACCGGCAGACAAGGGGAGUAAGA
rnacentral:rRNA from 1 species